UAUUCUUUUUUCUCGGGUCAAGUUUAUUCGUCGGCAGUCUAAUGUUUUAGCUCAUAAUUUAGCUAAGUCUUGUUUGGGGUGUAAUGGUCUUUGUGUUUUCACUUCUAUUCCGGAAUGUGUCCGAGAGACUAUUUGUAAUUAUGUUGCUUGAUUAAUAAAGUGCCAAUGUUUUCUAGAAAAAAAAGUGGCGAGUCGCACUUCUUGUGAACAGGGAGAGCAGGGUGCAAGACUUUCUAUCGUCUCGCUUAAUGCGAUACAUUGUCACCGCGUCCGACGCACCCACAGGCCUACAGUUGAUGUGACACGACGAACCACGAUCUUUUUGUUCCAGAGUAAUGAAAUCGGCGCUUCCUGGGCUUAUUAAUAGGCUUGGCAGGAUGUGUAAGAAAGAAGGGCCUGGCGGUACGGUGGUGCCACCAGUCAUUUGGGCCGCUUUGAUUUUUGCUUGGACCACGCUUAUCCUCGGAAAGAAAAAAACAAAACGCUAUAUAAGGUGCCAUCGCUCGGUUCAAAGGGUUUCCUCUCGUCUGGAUCUCAGCCGCCGCACCCGAAACACGCCCAGAGCGCCCUCCGGAUCUGGCUGACGCACGAAGUGACUCAAAGCAAAGAGCGCGAAGGAGCGCCGUCCGGAUCUGGCUGACGCACGAAGUGGCUCAAAGCAAAGAUUGCGAAGAGCGCGAAGGAUUUGCAGAUACUCCGUAAAAUCACUUUAUGGAGUCUCUGCCAAUUCUUCGUGUUCUUAACGUCUUUGCAGUUUAUUGCGUAUCUUCAAUGAUUGACAUCGGUUUGGUACUUCGUAUGUGAAGCUUUUUUGACAUCUGUUUUAUGAAUUUUUGUGUUUUUGUGGUCUAGGUUUGGUCCAUGGAGAAUGAGUCAAGAUAAGGCCGAAAGAUUUUUGCUCGCAAUGGUGUCUGCGCAAGUCCUAAAUUUCUUUGGUCUCGUCGUUUCAGUUCAACGAGCAAAAGAAGUUUGACGUUCCUCCAAGCUGCAAAAGUGAUGACCCUGAGGUAAACAGAUUGAACAACAGCUUGGCUGUCUACUACGGGACCAUGGCAACCUGCAGGGAGAACGUGCACGCUCUGCUGGUGGAAGAGCUCCAGGACAGUAACGUGGGUCUGAAACAAGCUGAGGCAAGAUACGAGGGAAUGAAGGUGACCGCGCACAGGAUGAUGGCACAAAUUACAGAUAGGCAGGGCAAGCCGGUGCCUUUCCCUUCCCACUUUAACCAUGCCGUGAAGCUGUAGAUUAGUUGGAAGUAUGAAUGAGGUGAGAACGGUACGAGAAUUCUGUUCCGUAGACUGUUAACUUGGGAGUAGACUAUUAACUUGGGAGUAUGGAUGACCGGAGAGGAAUUCUGUUCUGUAGACUGGUUGCAUUUGAACUUUCAGCAUUUCUAGAGAACCAAUAUGAUUGGAUUUUGUGAUAUAAAAUUCGGCAAGUCUGGUUGGAUUCU